UCAUCAGUCCAGAAUAUCCUUACCUGUUACUCCUUCUUGGAGAACAAUAAAUGAUGAUUAGAGCUUGUGUAAUACUUGUUGCAAUCUCUGCAACAACUUGGAGAUGGAGACUUACUCAUUGUUGUUCUUUUCUAAU